UUUUUGUUUUUUUGUUUUUUUGUUUUAACCAUUCAACACUCUAUAUCUUUUGAUUGUCAAAUUUAGUCCAUUUACAUUUAAAGUAAUUUUUGAUAGGUAUAUACCCAGUGCCAUAUUUUAACCAUCAUUUUCUGGCUGUGUUUGUGAGUCUCUUCCGUUCCUUUCUUCUUCUCUUUCUCUCUUCCCUUAAGUUUUGGUGGUAUUAUUUAGUGUUAUAUUGAGAUUCCUUUCUAAUUUUCUUUUGUGUAUUUACUCCCUUGUGUAAGUUUCUCCCUUGUGGUUACCAUGCAGUUCACAUAUAACAUAUGUAAACAGCAUUGUUUUAAGUUGGUAGCAACUUAAAUUUGAACACAUUCCAAAGCUUUAUAUUUUUACACCCCCAUCCACAUUUUAUACUUCUGAUGACACUUGUUACUUCUUUUUAUGUCUUCCUUAACUAAUCUAGUUUUGUUUUUUUUUUUUUGUUUUUUUUUGUCUUUUUUUUUUGCCUUUUCUUGAGCCGCUCUCGCAGCAUAUGGAGCAGUCCAAGAAAUAGCAAAAAAAAAAAAAAGAAAAGAGGCUCAAUGAUGUUAGUCAUUAGGGAAAUACAAAUCAAAAUCAUGAGAGAUAUCACUUUAAACCCACUACGAUAGCUAGAAUUUUUUUAAAGGAAAAUAACAAGUGUUAAUGAAGUUACGAAUAAAUUAGAAUCCUAAUACAUUGCUGAUGAUAAUAUAAGGUGGUACAAUCACUGUGAAAACAGUUUGGUGGUUCCUCAAGGAGUUAAACAUAGAAUUAUCAUAUGAUCCAAUAAUUCCACUUUUAGGUAUAAAAUGAAAACAGAUGUUCAAACAAAAAUGUGUACACAAAUGUUCAUAGCAGCAAUAUUCAACACAGACAAAAGUAAACACAAUCCAAAUAUCUACUAACUGGUGAAUGGAUUAAAAAAAAUAUGCCAUGUCCAUAUAAUAAAAUAUUUAAAUAUAAAAAGGAAUGAAAUACUGAUUCAUGCUAUAAGAAUGAACCUGGAAAACAUUAUGCUAAGUGAAAUAAACCAAAAUACAAAGAGCAUACAGUAUAUGAUUCCACUUAAAUGAAAUGUCCAGAAGAGGCAAAUCAGUCUUAGCCAGGGACUAAGAGAAGUGGUGGGGUAGGGAGUAAUUAUUCACUGGAUACAGAAUUUCCCUCUGAAGUGAUGAAAAAGUUCUGUACUUGAACUGUGUGGAUGAUUGCAUAAUACUAUGAAUGUACGUCAUGUCACUGAAUUGAAUUCAUUGCGUUAGAAUGGUUAAAAUGCCAAAUUUUAUGUUAUAUGUACUUACCAUAAUAUAAAAAUCUUUUAAAAGGAAAUUAAAAAAAAAACAAGAAGGCGAUAAUUCUUGCCUACCUACAAGCCUUUCUAUACUAUUACUCCAUGUGUAAAAUGAGAUUUGUGUAUGUGGCAUUACUUCAUAAACCAUAAAUUAUUAUUCCAGAGAAAUGCAGCUGCUAUUGAAACAGUAUAGAUAAAUGAGACUUCAGAAUACUCAUAGAAUAUUAUUAAUAAUAUAUUUUCACUUUUCUUCAAACACACCUUCAUGUGCUCUAUUAUAGAUUAGUAACAAUUUAAGAAAACAAUUAUAGGAUUAAUGCCAGGUGAAUUCUUAAACAGAGGUCUGAGUGAGAACUGCUUGAAAUUACAUGAAAAUUUUGUGUUUCUAUUAUGAUGAAUAUAGAAAUCAUAAUUUUUAGAUUUUACUGGUACUCAUGUUAAGAACUACUGGUAAGCCACAAAGAUCCACUUUACAAAAGAAUGAUUUUUUUGAUUUCUCAAAGCAUAGCUUUAUCUUUGUAAAGAUAAGUUCUCAAAAAAAGCAGAACUCAAAAAUAAAUGCCCACCAAGAUAACGACUUUAGCUCAUAAUUAUUUCUCUUUUCUAUUACUCCUCUUCUAAAUUUAUUUUUGCAAUAGUUAUUAACUUCUUAUGUAUCUCUCAUUUGUUGAUUUAGUAUAAUUCAACACUUUGGUAUAUACUGCCUGGAUCAGUCUCUACCUUCAUAAAUGAUAAGCUACCCAAGAAUAGAGGUUUUAUUUUUUUUUAAAUUUAUUUAGUUGUCCUGGAAUAUAAAAAAUUGGAUACAAUAAUUUUAUUUUUAUAAGCUUCAUGUGUAUCGUUUGAAUUAACUAUAAACAUGUUUUAUUUAUUAGAGCACAUGUUCUAUAUUUCAAAUGAGGUAUGCAUCUAGAGUAAUUUUGCAGUUAUAACACUGAAUAAUGAAUAAGACAUAUCCAGUUAUCAAAGUCAUUAUUAGAGUAACCCCUAACCAUGUUGUUUCAUUUGGUCAACCAUAUUUACUAACGCUUCAUGGUACUAUUAAUAUUAUCCACCGAUGCUUAUUUUACCUUCAAGUAGAGAAAUAUAUUAAAAUCUUUCUAGAACUUUUACAGGUUUCCUUUAUACAACACUAUUCACUGUAACAAAUUAAGAAUAAAAGGUCAUGAUCCAUCAUUUUGACAUCAAAUGAUGACAAAGGAACCGUGGAAAUAUGUUUGGUUUAAAUACAAUCUAAAUGUUUAUGAAAUGUUCAUUUUAAAGGUUUUAUAUUGUCACUACAAUCUUACAGGCAUUUAGAACAAUUUGUUAUAAAUUACACUAGAAUCUGUAGUCUUCUUCCAUGUUUAGUCUAGUUUAUCUAAGACCAAGUUGUUCUUUAACUCAACACAGAAAGUAAAAUCAAAUAAAUCUCCAUUUAAGUUAGCAAUUUUAUUUACCCUGUUUUUCACUAUUAUUAUAUUAUUUUAUAGAAUUUCUAGUCUUCUAAAAGAUAGAUGAGCCCUUUUGUGAGACUCUCCUCUCAAAAAUCAAAGCAGAAUUAAGCAUUUUCCUUCUCUUUGUUUCUAAAACACCACAGCGUAUUUCUAUUAUGGCAAUAAUCACACUGCUCACUUAAUUUAUAUUCCUAUCUUUUUCAUCAGACAGUAAAUCUUAUAAGGUCAGGGGACUCUGCUUCCUUCAUAUUAUUAUUUUUUUUCUUCUAAAACCUAAGCACAGUCUCUAGCAUACUAGGUGCUCAAUAAAUGUCUGUUCACUAAUUUGUGGAAAUAUCUGGUUAUGGGGGCAAAAUUGACAAAUGAAUAUAUGUUUAUACAGAAUAAUUUAAAUAAGAUAAAGCUCAUAACAUAAUCCUAAUCACACAACAUCUUAACAGUUAUUACGUCUUUUCCAUUACGUCAGCAUAAAACAGUGAUGGGGUAAAUUUCAAGUGCCAAAAUAACUUAGUCCCUUACAAGGACAAGGGAUAACCAUCUUCCCUCUCCAGAAAGGAAAGCCUAAGCUAAAAUUUCAAUGGAGUCAAAGUCACCUAACAUCUAGAACAAAGUAGCUACCAAUUGGGAGUUCCCCUUGUAGAUCAGUGGGUUAUGAACCCAACCAAUAUCCAUGAGGAUAUGGGUUUGAUCCCUAGCCUUGCUCAGUGGGUUAAGGAUCCAGCAUUGUAGUGAGUUGUGGUGUAGGUUGCUCAUGAAGCUUGGAACCCACAUUGCUAUGGCUGUGGCAUAGGCUGGCAGCAGCUCCAAUUCAACUCCUAGCCUGGGAACUUCCAUAUACUUCAGGAGGGGCUUUAAAAAGGAAAAAAAAAAAAAAAAAAAAAGUAGCUAUCAUUCUUAAUUUAUAACAUCAUUAUGUCAUUUAAAGAGUAUAUAAGAGGGUUAUGAUACACAAUAUACUCUAAAAUAAUAAAUUAUUUCUGAUUUUAAAUAAAUUAUUUCAUUUUGUUUAAUUCAUUUGUCUUAGAAAAUUUCUGAUGUGAACUAUAAAAACAAGAGAAAGAAAAAUGAUUCUAUAGAAGUAAUUUCACAGAUGUUACUAAUUGCUUGUUGAAAACUUUUUUUCCCUUUCUUCCUUACUAACAAAACUCUGAUGUUGUUCAUGGUGGCAAUGGGAGUCACCAAGCACUCUUAAAAGUAGAGGUGGCCAUAUAUGUUCUGGCCUAUGAGAUGGAGAAAGAGUUUGUCAGGUCAUAUUGGAGAAAAAAGUCCAAACGAAUGUAACGAUGACAAUUAACAGGAAAUAGCUCAUCUGCAGCUAAACAGAUUUCUCAGGCCCUCUCCUAAUUUUUUCAAAUUAAUAAACAAAAUCACAAAUUUUCUGACAAAAUAUAGGUAUUAGUCAAUAUAGCGACUGAUGACACUAACAGAACCCUAAGUAACAGGCACUAAAUCUAUGUGCUUUACACCAAGUAACCCAUUUAAUCUAACCCUAUCAGGCAGGUGACAAUAAAGAUCACACAGCUUAUAGGCAGCAGAGGGAGAAUUCAAACUCAGGUAACUUAACUCCAUAGUUAUGUUGUUAAUUAUGUUCCAAUAUGCCAAUACAUGUAUCUAUGUAUGUAGUAGCAUGAAUAAAUACAUAUGAAUAUAAAUAAAUAUGUGUUUAUCAUACCAGCUAAUGUUGAAUUUGAACAUAAAAAGUUUUCAUACUAAUUAAAAUGAUAAUAUAUUCAAACUUUAAGCAGGUAUUGCCUAGGAUUUUAAUUUACAAGUAAAUAUGAAGGACUUAUUAGUUUGAUGUGACCAAGACUGUCUUAUUCACAACUGUAAGCCCCAUCACAGUGCUUUGUUCAGAGUAGGAAAGUAAUAUAGAGAUUUGACAAAUGACUUAUGAAACAAUGUAAGUAAAAGGUUAACAUACAGAUUUGAAGCGGGAGCUGCUAUUAAGCUUACCCAGCUAAUGUUAAAUCCUGGAAGAAAUAUUUUUAAAAUGCUAUAUUUGUCACAAUAAACAUAAUUGUUUAUUCAUAAGCCAAUUUUGUAUGCAAUACAUCCCUAAGCCUAGCUACUGAAAAAACACUUUGCUUGUUCUUUAUAAUAUUAACAUUUGAAAGAUCUUUGUGACUAAGGCUUUCAUUUUAAAAUUAAGGUAACUGUAACUUUCACCUGAACAAAAUUCAUAUUUAGAGUUACCUUUGAACUUUAAAAAAGAUCAACAAACACUAAAUUUUUUGAACAAUGAUCUUUGAGUUAUUUAUUUAUGUUUUUAGGGCCACACCUGCAGCAUAUGGAGGUUCCCAGGCUAAGGGUCAAAACAGAGCUGUAGCCACCAGCCUAGGCCACAGACACAGCAAUGCAGGAUCCAAACCUUGGCUGUGAACUACACCACAGCUCACAACACCACCAGAUCCCAGGGAUUGAACCCGCGUCCUCAUGGAUGUUAGAUUCAUUUCCACUGAGCCACGACGGGAACUUCAAUCUUUAUGAGUAUUUAAAAAAAAUAUUCAAAACAGGAUUUAUUUAUUUAUUUAUUUGCUUUACCAGCUCUUCCUUACAGCAUCUGCAACAAAAUGUGGUAUACAAAAAUUCGAUUUAUUAUCUUUCAAGGAUAUGUUUCCGCCAAAAGAAAGGUAAACACAUAUAUUACUUUGACAUUCAAAAUUAUAAACAGAUCAUUCAGACUGUAUAUUCUACAUCCUUCUUUUACACAUAUCUGCUACCAGGAUUAAUUUUCAUCAUAAGAGGAAAGUUGGCUAUGACAGGGACAUUGAGCAACCAAUAUUCUGUCUUUGUUGGUACUUUGAUCAAGAAAAAUAGCUUUUUUGUUUUUUAUUCCUUACUUUUUCAAUUUAGAAUUGACAGACUAUAGCAAUGCUUUAAAAGUUGCUACAAUGUUGUCUUCAGAAGAAGCUCCUGCUGUUUAAAGCUGGAUUGUGAGUCUUCACUGAGUUCAGGUGCUUAAAUGACUUUGACAACAUACCAUAAACACCAUCAGUAGACCUUUAUUUAGUUAUUUGUUCAACUCAUUUCCCAGAAAAUGACUAUGUUUUUGAAUGAUCUCAAUUCUACUACUUUUAGACACUUAGGCUAAGUGAAAGGUUGGAAGCAUUUAAGCCUGGUGUUCUGGUGGUAAAAUUAUGUUUAUACAGUUAACACACAAACAUUUCACCAGUUACAGUUUUUGGAUAAUGAAGGAGCGGACAUCACCAGAGAUCCUACAGAGAUUAAAAGAACAAUGUAAAAAUCUCUAUGUCUGUAAAUUCAGCAACUUAGAAGAAAUGGAGCAACUCCUUGAAAUCCAUAAACUACGAAAGAAAUAACCUGAAGAGCCCAACAGCUAUUAAAGAAAUUUAGUUCAUAGUUUAAAAAUGCCUCAACAAAGAAAACACUAGGCUUGGAUGGUUUCAGUGACUGCAGGUGGCCAACCUGAAGAAAUAGGAAAAGGCAGCAUUAAGAUAAAGCAUACAAACUGUGUUGCCUGCUACAGAAGAAGCCACCAGUCACAUGCAGCUACUGAGUUGGCAGCUUGAAAUGAAGUUAGCUCCAAUUGAGAUGUGUUUUAAGUGCAAAAUAUGUAAGAUUUUGAAGACUUAGCAUGAAAAAGAAUAUAAAUACUCAGUAAUAAUUUUUACACUAAUUACAUAUUAAAUUGGCAAUAUUUUGGACAUACUGAGUUAAAUGAGGAUAUUACUAAAAUUGUCAUGUUUCUUUUUGCUUUUUAAAAUAUAGUUACUAGAAUAUUUAAUUUUACAAAUGUCACAAUAUACUUCUACUGGACAGAGUUGCUCUACAAAAUUAAGAAUGGAAAAGUCCAACAACACAAAAAAAGCUUACUGAUGAUAUCUUGAGGCCUCUGGAUCAUUUUUGCCUGAAGCUGCCCUAACUCUCUGAUAAAUAAAUGAAUAAAUUUCUUUAAUAGUUUAAGUUAUCAUCCACAGAUUUUGUAAUUUUGCAACUAAAAGUAUCCCAACUCACACUCUAAUCCAGCAGUUCUUCCACUGACAAUUUUGAAGAAAUAAAAAUGGUUCCAUACAAAUUUUCUUUGUAGUUCUUUCGCUCUACUUGCAUAUGUUUAUAGACAGUAUACUCACUGGCUAUUAUAAAGCACUUCAUUUCCGGAGUUCCCAGUGUGGCACAGGACAAAUGAAUCCAACUAGUACCUGCAAGGAUGUAGGUUCGAUCCUUGGCCUCACUCGGUGGGUCGGAGAUCCAGUGUUGCUGUGAGCUGUGGUGUAGGUUGCAGAUGCAGCUUGGAUCCUGUGUUGCUAUGGCUGUGGCAUAGGCUGGCAGCUGUAGCUCUGAUUCAACCCCAGUCUGGGAACUUCCAGAUGCUGCGGGUGUGGCCCUAAAAAGCAAAAAAAUUUAAAAAAUAAAGCACUUCAUUUCCAUUACAGGUAUUAGAAGCAUAACAUUCUUUUUUUUUUUUUUUGUGAGGGGGAGCUGGGUGUCCUUUACUUUUUUUUUUUUUUUUU
rnacentral:lncRNA from 1 species